GACGAACGCUGGCGGCGUGCUUAACACAUGCAAGUCGAACGAAGUGGCGAACGGGUGAGUAACGCGUAAUCAACCUGCCCUUCAGAGGGGGACAACAGAUGGAAACGACUGCUAAUACCGCAAACUGAAGGAGGGGAUUGCGUCGGAUGAGCUAGUUGGAGGGGGAACGGCCCACCAAGGCGAUGACCAGUAGCCGUUCUGAGUGGAUGAACGGCCAACUUUGUGCUUGGACACGGCCCCGACUCCUACGGGAGGGAGCAGUGGGGAAUCUUCCGCAAUGGACGAAAGUCUGACGGAGCAACGCCGCGUGAGUGAUGACGGCCUUCGGGUUGUAAAGCUCUGUUAAUCGGGACGCGGUACCGAAAUAGAAAGCCACGGCUAACUACGUGCCAGCAGCCGCGGUAAUAC
rnacentral:rRNA from 1 species